rnacentral:rRNA from 1 species
ACUCCUACGGGAGGCAGCAGUGGGGAAUUUUGGACAAUGGGCGAAAGCCUGAUCCAGCCAUACCGCGUGAGUGAAGAAGGCCUUCGGGUUGUAAAGCUCUUUCAGCCGGAAAGAAAUUGCUUCUAUUAAUACUAGGAGUAGAUGACGGUACCGGAAGAAGAAGCACCGGCUAACUACGUGCCAGCAGCCGCGGUAAUACGUAGGGUGCGAGCGUUAAUCGGAAUUACUGGGCGUAAAGCGUGCGCAGGCGGUUUUUUAAGCCAGAUGUGAAAUCCCCGGGCUCAACCUGGGAACUGCAUUUGGAACUGGAAGACUAGAGUGUAGCAGAGGGGGGUAGAAUUCCACGUGUAGCAGUGAAAUGCGUAGAUAUGUGGAGGAAURSSRRUGGCGAAGGCAGCCCCCUGGGUUAACACUGACGCUCAUGCACGAAAGCGUGGGGAGCAAACAGGAUUAGAUACCCUGGUAGUCCACGCCCUAAACGAUGUCAACUAGUUGUCGGGGGAGAGAUUCCUUGGUAACGCAGCUAACGCGUGAAGUUGACCGCCUGGGGAGUACGGUCGCAAGAUUAAAACUCAAAGGAAUUGACGG